rnacentral:rRNA from 1 species
UACAGAGGUCUCAAGCGUUGUUCGGAUUCAUUGGGCGUAAAGGGUGCGUAGGCGGCGCGGUAAGUCGGGUGUGAAAUCUCGGAGCUUAACUCCGAAACUGCAUUCGAUACUGCCGUGCUUGAGGACUGGAGAGGAGACUGGAAUUUACGGUGUAGCGGUGAAAUGCGUAGAUAUCGUAAGGAAGACCAGUGGCGAAGGCGGGUCUCUGGACAGUUCCUGACGCUGAGGCACGAAAGGUCAGGGGGAGCAAAACGGG